CACGUAGGGGGCGAGCGUUGUCCGGAUUUAUUGGGCGUAAAGAGCUCGUAGGUGGUUCAGUAAGUCGAGUGUGAAACCUCCAGGCUCAACCUGGAGACGCCACCCGAUACUGCUGUGACUAGAGUCCAGUAGGGGAGCACGGAAUUCCUGGUGUAGCGGUGAAAUGCGCAGAUAUCGGAAGGAACACCUGUGGCGAAAGCGGCUCACUGGACCAUAACUGACGCUGAGGUGCGAAAGCGUGGGGAGCAAACAGG
rnacentral:rRNA from 1 species